ensembl:lncRNA
CCAACUUUCUGGUAGAGAAUGCAGUGAUGACAUCACAGAGGGCCAACCAACUUUGGUAGAGAAUGCAGUGAUGACAUCACAGAGGGCCAACCAACUUUCUGGUAGAGAAUGCAGUGAUGAGUAAUAAAAUUGCCACCUGUAAUUAAGCACAGUGCACAAUGAUAAACUAUAAUAAAUCUAACGGCUUUAAUGAAGUGGCAGCUGAUUUCAUAUAGAUGAUGUCGCCAUAGUCUAGGACCAAUAGGGACGUCGACUGAAUAAUCUGCUUUCACUAUUCAACGAGGGACGGGACCUAUUUCUAUAGAAGAAGCCCAUGUUUAUCCUCAGCUUCUUAGCUAACUCAUCAAUAUGCUUUUUAAAAGACAGAUUUUCAUCUAUCCAAGAUGCCCAGAUAUUUACUUAGCAGGGACACGAUCAAUGUGUAGACACCAUCCAUGAUUAAAUCAUUAACGAUCUUUUUGUGCUCUCUAGAGAACAACACUAAGGUAGUUUUUAACAAUAGAUAGUAGCCUGGUGGAAAUAGCCUUACCAUUUGUUUCCCUUGAAUACAAUGUUGAACACAAUGACCAUGUUACCACAGAUGUGUAGGCUACAAUGAGGGUAGUUCUCGUCAACCCCCAAGGACACAUUCCCAGCCCUUCACAGUCCUUCCCAUCCUCCUCAGCCCUUCACAGUCCUUCCCAUCCUUCCUCAGCCCUUCACAGUCCUUCCCACCCUUCCUCAGCCCUUCACAGUCCUUCCCAUCCUUCCUCAGCCCUUCACAGAUCUUCCCAUCCUUCCUCAGCCCUUCACAGUCCUUCCCACCCUUCCUCAGCCCUUCACAGUCCUUCCCAUCCUCCUCAGCCCUUCACAGUCUUUCCCAUCCUUCCUCAGCCUUUCACAGUCCUUCCCAUCCUUCCUCAGCCUUUCACAGUCCUUCCCACCCUUCCUCAGCCUUUCACAGUCUUUCCCAUCCUUCCUCAGCCCUUCACAGUCUUUCCCAUCCUUCCUCAGCCCUGCACAGUACUUCCCAUCCUCUCCAGCCCUCCCCAGCCCUCCCCAUCCUUCCUCAGCACUUCACAGUCCUUCCCAUCCUUCCUCAGCCCUUCACAGUCCUUCCCACCCUUCCUCAGCUCUUCACAGUCCUCCCCAUCCUUCCUCAGCCCUUCACAGUCCUUCCCAUCCUUCCUCAGCCCUUCACAGUCCUUCCCACCUUUCCUCAGCCCUUCACAGUCCUUCUCAUCCUCCCCAGCCCUCGCCAUCCUUCCUCAGCCCUUCACAGUCCUUCCCAUCCUUCCUCAGCCCUUCACAGUCCUUCCCACCUUUCCUCAGCCCUUCACAGUCCUUCUCAUCCUCCCCAGCCCUCGCCAUCCUUCCUCAGCCCUUCACAGGUCUUUCCCAUCCUUCCUCAGCCCUUCACAGUCCUUCCCACCCUUCCUCAGCCCUUCACAGUCCUUCCCAUCCUUCCUCAGCCCUUCACAGUCCUUCCCACCCUUCCUCAGCCCUUCAGUCUUUCCCAUCCUUCCUCAGCCCUUCAGUCUUUCCCAUCCUUCCUCAGCCCUGCACAGUACUUCCCAUCCUCUCCAGCCCUCCCCAUCCUCCAUCUGCCCUUCACAGUCCUUCCCAUCCUUCCACAGCCCUUCACAGUCCUUCCCACCCCUCCUCAGCCCUUCACAGUCCUUCCCACCCUUCCUCAGCCCUUCACAGUCCUUCCCAUCCUUCCUCAGCCCUUCACAGUCCUUC